rnacentral:snoRNA from 1 species
AAACCAUGCAUUGAGCAUUUUCUAAUUAGUUCUUUGAAACGCUUCUAUGUUUCAUAUAAUGUUUCAUCUUUUGAUUGCCUAAACGAUGUAAUGUCGUUCCUAAACUU